GAUGAACGCUGGCGGCGUGCCUAAUACAUGCAAGUCGAGCGAACAGACGAGGAGCUUGCUCCUCUGACGUUAGCGGCGGACGGGUGAGUAACACGUGGAUAACCUACCUAUAAGACUGGGAUAACUUCGGGAAACCGGAGCUAAUACCGGAUAAUAUAUUGAACCGCAUGGUUCAAUAGUGAAAGACGGUUUUGCUGGCACUUAUAGAUGGAUCCGGGCCGCAUGAGCUAGUUGGUAAGGUAAGGGCUUACCAAGGCAACGAUGCGUAGCCGACCUGAGAGGGUGAUCGGCCACACUGGAACUGAGACACGGUCCAGACUCCUACGGGAGGCAGCAGUAGGGAAUCUUCCGCAAUGGGCGAAAGCCUGACGGAGCAACGCCGCGUGAGUGAUGAAGGUCUUCGGAUCGUAAAACUCUGUUAUUAGGGAAGAACAAAUGUGUAAGUAACUAUGCACGUCUUGACGGUACCUAAUCAGAAAGCCACGGCUAACUACGUG
rnacentral:rRNA from 1 species